CCAUCAGGUUAAGCUGGGGACGUCUAAAGGAACUGCCUACGCAAGUAGUGAGGAAGCGGGGAGUGACGUCAAAUCAGCACGGCCCUUACGUCCAGGGCUACACACGUGCUACAAUGGCCGAUACAGAGGGCAGCUACCUGGUGACAGGAUGCAAAUCUCCAAAGUCGGUCUCAGUUCGGAUCGGAGUCUGCAACCCGACUCCGUGAAGUUGGAUUCGCUAGUAAUCGCGCAUCAGCCAUGGCGCGGUGAAUACGUUCCCGGGCCUU
rnacentral:rRNA from 1 species